rnacentral:rRNA from 1 species
CUACGGAGGGUGCAAGCGUUAAUCGGAAUUACUGGGCGUAAAGCGUACGUAGGCGGUUGGUUAAGUUAGAUGUGAAAGCCCCGGGCUUAACCUGGGAACUGCAUUUAAAACUGGCGAACUAGAGUUGAGUAGAGGGGAGUGGAAUUUCAGGUGUAGCGGUGAAAUGCGUAGAGAUCUGAAGGAACACCAGUGGCGAAGGCGACUCCCUGGACUCGAACUGACGCUGAGGUACGAAAGCGUGGGUAGCAAACGGGAUUAGAAACCCCAGUAGUCC